AUUGAACGCUAGCGGGAUGCCUUACACAUGCAAGUCGAACGGAGUGGCGGACGGGUGAGUAAUGUAUCGGAAGGUGCCCAGUAGCGGGGGAUAACUAAGCGAAAGCGACGCUAAUAACGCCUACUCUUGGAGCGGCCGAUAACGGAUGAGCUAGUUGGUGGGGUAACGGCUCACCAAGGCGACGAUCCAUAGCUGGUUUGAGUGGACGACCGGCCCCACUGGGACGUAGACACGGCCCAGACCCCUCCGGGAGGCAGCAGUGGGGAAUGUUGGACAAUGGGGGAAACCCUGAUCCAGCCAUCCCGCGUGUGCGAUGAAGGCCUUCGGGUUGUAAAGUACUUUUGGCAGGAAAGCGGUACCUGCAGAAUAAGCACCGGCUAACUACGUGCCAGCAGCCGCGGUAAUUC
rnacentral:rRNA from 1 species